rnacentral:lncRNA from 1 species
GAGGAUUUACCACCGCACUCCUUGCCAUUCUAUUGUAGAAAUUUAUUGAACUAUUAAUUUAUUGAACUUUAAUUUACUGAACUUAUUUUCAGUGAGGAUUUACAGAUUCACUUAUUCACUUAUUUCAGUGAGGAUUUACCACCCCAUUCCCUGCCAUUCUAUUGUAGAAAUUCUACACACUGGGAAGAGAAUCAUGUACUUUACUAUUUGAUUCUUCCAGAUGCUCCAUGAAGGGUAUCAUAAACUUGGGAUCAUUUUUGUCUAUUGUGAUAAAAUACACAUAGCAUAAAUUGACCAUUUUAAACACUUUUAAGUGUACAGUUCAGUGGCAUCAAGUAUAUUUGCAUUGUUGGACAACCGUCACCACCAUCCAUUUCCACAACUUUUCCAUCAUCCCAAAGUGAAACUCUGUGCCCAUGAAACACUAACUCCCCAUUCCACUCUUUCCCAGCCCUGAUAACCACAAUUCUACCUUCUGUCUCUAUUAAUUUAACUAUUUUAGGUACCUCAUGUAAGUAGAAUUAUACAGUAUUUGUCCUUCUGCAUCUGGCUUCUUUCACUUGGCAUAAUGUCCUCAAGGUUCAUCCAUGUUAUGGUAUGUAUCAGAAUUUCCUUUCUUUUUUAAGGCAGAAUAAUAUUCCAUUGUACGUAUAUUCCACGUUUAGUCUGUCCAUUCAUCCAUGGAUGGAUAUUUGAGUUGUUUGGACCAAUGUUUAAGUGAAUUUCUCAGCUUAGGUUUCAGUUUAUUACAUGAGAGAUAUUUUUUCCCCACCGAGAGCCUAAGCAACUGAAGUCUCCCUCACCAGCAGGUAGGAUUUGUCUGGUCCCCCAUUCACUGAGCAGGCAGCUUUUCAAGGGUCCUGACUUUUGCACAAAUCUCAGAUCCAGCUCCCCUUUCUAAGGCCUCAUCACCUGUCCCCAUGAGCGUGCAUCAGAAUGUGCCCCACCCAGGCUCCAGCUCCCCCACAUCAGCUCUCACACUUGCCACUCCACCUUUCUUUUUGUUUUUUGUGUUUUUGCUUGUUUGUUUGUUUUUUGAGACGGAGUCUCACUCUGUCGCCCAGGCUGGAGUGCAGUGGCAUGAUCUCCGCUCACUGCAAGCUCCACCUCCUGGGUUCACGCCAUUUUCCUGCCUCAGCCUCUCCCAGUAGCUAGGAUUGCAGGUGCAUGCCACCACGCCCGGCUAAUUUUUUGUAUUUUUAGUAGAGACAGGGUUUCACCGUUGUCUCAAUCUCCUGACCUCGUGAUCUGCCUGCCUCAGCCUCCCAAAGUGCUGUGAUUACAAGCGUGAGCCACCACGCCCCACCGCCACUGUACCUUUCCAUGUCCUCUUCAUCUCUGGCAUCGGGGACUCCCCUUUCUUGAUUUGAAGAAAUGGUUUUCAAUCUUGGCUUAUAUUUACAUUCAACUGGGGACAUUUUUUAAAAUCCCAAGACACAACCCAGACCAAUUACAUUCAAACCUCUGGCAUAAAAAGUGAGGUUUUAAAAAUAUAUUAUACAAAUAAUCGUACAAUAGGUACCUAGAUAUGUAAAAGCUCAUAAAGGUAUAACUUGAGUUAUCAAAAUAUCGUGAGCCCUGCUCUAGUACUGCUGCCUGUGUUAGGUGCUUCUGGACUCUGGUUCUAACAGUGGGAGGUUGUGUUUGUGAUCAUUUCUAGGCACAACUUUAAUCUGGAAAUAAAAUAGUCAUUUUGGCUUUCUCUUUCAGCCUCCUACGUGAGAGUUUCCCAAUUCUAAGAACAUUCUGAUGUUCUAUGCCACAUCUUGCAAUUGGGUAUGAACAAUUUUUCAAUAAUAGCAAAUAAAUGAGUCUUCUCAGUGUAUCUUCAUCUUGUCACCACUGCUGAAGAGCGUGAUUCUCCUCUAGCCUAGACAUGAGCUUCGACUGCUGUUCAGUUACUCCAGUAAACUCCAGGAUACUUAUUAAUGAUGGUAACAGCAGCCAACAAGUAUUAAGAACUUUUGCUAUUAAACUUCCCUGCUACCAUUGGGACCAAGAAUCUGGACAACAAAUUUUCUAUUUUUAUUUUUUAUUUUCCUUCCAUAAAUCACAGGCUGUUCAACAUAAACGGGCUGGGUUGAAUUGAAUCGGGCAGAGUUGACAGAACACAGGACCAGGAAGCAGGUCACCCAAGCUGCUGGCCCUGCCAUGGCUCCUGGUGGACGUGAGGGAGAUAUUAGGAACAAUAUCACAGAAGGGGUGUACACUGCCUGCGAUACUGGGAGUAAUAGCAUUCUCUUCUUCCGUGAAUAUGAGGAGCAAUAUCACUGGGUGGAUGUACACCCACUGCUAUACUGGGAGUAACGUCAUACUCCACCCCCUGGAGAUUAUAUUCGGAUAAAUAUCACCAGGUGGGUGUACACCUACUGUGAUAUUGAACGGAAUAUCAUGCUCUCUCCC